AUCCUGAGCAGGUAGUAAUUUGAAUUUGCAGGUAGUGUCUCGAACUUUUUUUUUAAGACGCAGCCACAAAUAGGACACAACCGAAUACCACAGACUUUCUGGUAUUGCUGGCAAAGUGUCCUGAGGAAAGCCCCUGAAAAAAGUGAACUGUGCAGACUCCGACCCCCGACACUCGGGCCCGUGGAGUUGACCUGCCGGGGUGCCAAAGAGGACGGGCCAGGAGGGCGGCCAGGGUGGCCUGUGGAGUAGUACACCACCAGCUCAGGGAAAGGAAUGCUGAGGCAACCCUAACUCAGAAAAGACUCAGUACAACCAAGCCAUCCAUGGGAGAAGAGACUCAGACCCAGGUAACUGACCAUGUUAUCUGGAAACAGAAACCACUGAGUCUCUUCAUUUCUGUUUUGUCUGGGCUCUUUCAGGUAAGAAUAACAGAAACGUAAUUCAAAUUAACCAAAAAAAGGGAAGCUUAUGCACUCACUUAACUAAUAAGCCAAUACGUUUGGAUUCAGGUGAUAAAACAAUGUCAUUUGAUCUUGGUCUUGCUUUCUCAAUCCCUCUACUGUACCUCCCUUUGUCUUGGCUCCAUUUCAGGUCAUGAUCUCCCUGUGGUGAGAUCCUGCCAGAAGCCCCAAGCUUACAUCCUAUAUUCUCUCAGCAGCACCCAGAACUUCCUUUUUAGUGUUCACCUUGCAAAGUUUCUAUUUGCAAUAAUUCGGUCAAUAGGAUGGUUUUGAUUCAUUGAUUUGCUUAUAUGCUCAUCUCCAAACCAAUCGUUUCAGUCAGUAGAUUAUAAUAUGCAUGCAGACAGGGAGUGAGACUGGUUCUUUAAGGAAAAUUGAAAUGUUUUU
ensembl:lncRNA